UCAUCCUAUCCUCAUCCUCAUCCUCAUCCUCAACAUCAUCCUCAUCCUAUGACGAUGAGGACGAGGAUGAGGACCAGGAUAGGAUGA
rnacentral:pre_miRNA from 1 species